rnacentral:rRNA from 1 species
AACUAACGCUGGCGGCGUGCCUAACACAUGCAAGUCGUACGAGAAAGUUGGCUUCGGCCGAUGAGUAAAGUGGCGCACGGGUGAGUAACGCGUGGAUAAUCUACCUUUUAGUUUGGAAUAACGUACCGAAGGUGCGCUAAUACCGGAUAAUACUGCACAACUACUGUUGUGUCGUCAAAGAAGGCUUCUGUUUACAUGCUUUUGCUGAAAGAUGAGUCCGCGUACCAUUAGCUAGUUGGUAGGGUAAUGGCCUACCAAGGCUACGAUGGUUAGCUGGUCUGAGAGGAUGAUCAGCCACACUGGAACUGAGACACGGUCCAGACACCUACGGGUGGCUG